AUUGAACGCUGGCGGCGUGCUUAACACAUGCAAGUCGAUCGGUAACGCGGGGGCAACCCUGGCGACGAGAGGCGGACGGGUGAGGAACGCUUGGGAAUCUGCCUAUCAGCGGGGGACAACACGGGGAAACUCGUGCUAAUACCGCAUACGCUCUACGGAUGAAAGCAGGGGACCGCAAGGCCUGGCACUGAUAGAUGAGCCCAAGCCGGAUUAGCUAGUUGGCGGGGUAACGGCCCACCAAGGCGACGAUCCGUAGCUGGUCUGAGAGGACGAUCAGCCACACUGGGACUGAGACACGGCCCAGACUCCUACGGGAGGCAGCAGUGGGGAAUAUUGGACAAUGGGGGAAACCCUGAUCCAGCGACGCCGCGUGGGUGAAGAAGGCCUGCGGGUUGUAAAGCCCUUUCGGUAGGGACGAAAGCUCUCGGCCUAACACGUCGGGAGGUUGACUUAACCUACAAAAGAAGCACCGGCUAACUCUGUGCCAGCCGCCGCAGUAAGAC
rnacentral:rRNA from 1 species